CGCAUCUGUGCAUGCAGCAUAUCAAUAAGCGGAGGAAAAGAAACUAACAAGGAUUCCCCUAGUAACGGCGAGUGAAGCGGGAAGAGCUCAAAUUUGAAAUCUUAAAGAGGUUUCCCUUUACGAAUUGUAGUUUAAAGAAGUGUUUUCUGUUGAGGUUUUGGUAAAAGUUCUUUGGAAUAGGACAUCAUAGAGGGUGAGAAUCCCGUAUUUGACCUUUACUUUCAACUUUGUGAUACACUUUCAAAGAGUCGGAUUGUUUGGGAAUGCAGUCCAAAAUGGGUGGUAAAUUUCAUCUAAAGCUAAAUAUUGGCGAGAGACCGAUAGCGAACAAGUACCGUGAGGGAAAGAUGAAAAGAACUUUGAAAAGAGAGUUAAACAGUACGUGAAAUUGUCAAAAGGGAAGCGUUUGACACCAGUGUUGUUUUUCUGAAAAUCAAUUAAAGAACUGUUUAUGCUAAGUUGUUUAGACUUUAUCAGCUAACUGUUUAGUUUUGAGCUUUUCUUUAAUGCACUUUUCAGUUAACAAGUCAACAUCAAUUUCUUUUGCUGUAAAAAAGCUUGAGGAAGGUGGCUUGAGAUUCGUCUUAAGUGUUUAUAGCCUCUUGCCUAUGCAGUCGGAGAGAUUGAGGUCUGCAGCGUAGAUCCUUCGGGGCUAAAUGCAUUUGUGCUAAGUUAUAGCAUUUUAUAGACAACUUGUUGACUAUGAUUUGUCUUGUAGCUUACUCGCUUAUGUUAUUUUACCUACGCUUAGGAUGUUGACGAGACUGUCGAUCUC
rnacentral:rRNA from 1 species